GGUCUGUUAGCUCAGCUGGUUAGAGCGUGUUGCUAGUAACACCAAGAUUGUGGGUUUGAUCCCCACAUGGGCCG
rnacentral:tRNA from 1 species